rnacentral:rRNA from 1 species
UACGGAGGGUGCAAGCGUUGCUCGGAAUUAUUGGGCGUAAAGGGGAGGUAGGUGGUCUUGUUUGUCUGAGGUGAAAUCCCUGGGCUUAACCCAGGAAGUGCCCCAGAAACGGCAAGACUAGAGUCCUGGAGAGGGUCGUGGAAUUCCCGGUGUAGAGGUGAAAUUCGUAGAGAUCGGGAGGAACACCAGAGGCGAAGGCGGCGACCUGGACAGGUACUGACACUCAACUCCGAAAGCGUGGGGAGCAAACAGG